CUUGGUAUAAAUUCCGGGGUAGAAGUUCGCGGGAGUAUGCGUCUCAUCUACCCUCCGUAUCAAAUUAUGGGCACGGCCCAAUUAUAGUUAAUGGGUAAGGAAAAAGAGACCCGACCCAAAUUAAGGCCCACGAUCUCCAUGUUUACUGCACAUUCGUGAUGGGAAAUGGAUAAUGCUGGAUAUUUUUUCCUUGGAUUUAACUUUGUUAAUAUGUAAUUAUAAAAGAAAACGUUGCCUUUUAUGUCUCUAUUAGUCAAACACAGGGCAAUUAGUGUCCGUGUUAGGUGAUAAUUAUAUGAGUAAUUUUCUUCAAAUUAAUACCUACUACGAACCUUCCCCUCCACCACCACCACUUUUGCAAAUUUCAACGAUCCGGAGGGAAAAUCUCGCAAAUAUUCUAUCAAAUACGUUGUCGUUUUGCUUUUCCUUUUUCAUGUACAAAAACUCUCUUCCAUUUUCACAGGUAAUUGAAAUCAAUGUAGAAACUGGCAUAUAAGAAGGGAAGUAAAAGAAGAGAAUUAACGCACUGGCUAUCAGUAAUUGAAUUGAAUAUGAUCCUAAAACACUUUAACUGACACGAGAAUUUUGAAAUUUAACCAAAAAAAAGCAAGAUGAUUGAUAUAUACACGGUGUUAUCGUUGAGAAAUCGAUUUUUGAUCGACGGAAAGAGACGAACGCUUAAUGAACUCGAGGCAAUCGGCAAUAGCCUCCGAGUAAAAAGAAUUGGAGCGCCUAAUCACGCACCUGCAAUCACCUGACUCACUCGAUGUCUCCAUCAAACACCUUCUUCUGCUGCUGCUGCUGUGUCGACGUCUUUGAUUUCUCUUGAUGCCUUUCUUUAGAGAUCGUAAAGCUCGGCCAUAUGAAAAUCUCCAUCUUGUUAACACUCUUCUGAACAAGUACGCGAACCUCUCCCGCAGUCCGUGAACUGAUAAUCUCCUGCUCGCCGGCUUCAGCCGCACACCUCCCGGUAUUCUAUUCAUCGCAACUGUAAGUACGAUCCUGCUAGUUAAGCUUCCUCUUCAGCCAGUUUCAAAAAAGUUGAAGCAAUCUUUGUCGCUUGCCCUAGCUCCUUUCUAUAUAUAGGAAUUUGAGAGAGGAGAUAGCUUUUUGACGGAAGGUGGUGUUGGUGUGGAAGAGACUCGGAAAACGGUGGCUUUUUUUAUUUCACCUACUUACCUAGC
rnacentral:lncRNA from 1 species